rnacentral:rRNA from 1 species
GACGAACGCUGGCGGCGUGCUUAACACAUGCAAGUCGAACGGACAGGCCCUGCUUUUGUGGGGUGCUCGAUUGGCGAACGGGUGAGUAACACGUGUGUAAACUCUCCUUGACAUUGGGAUAACUUCAGGAAACUGGGGCUAAUACCCGAUAGGAGCUCUUGCUGCAUGGUGUGGGUUGGAAAGUUUCGGCGGUUGUGUAUUGUCUCGCGGCUUAUCGGCUUGGUGGUGGGGUAGUGUCUUCCCAAGGCUGCGACGGGUAGCCCGCCUGAGUGGGUGAACGGCCGCAUUGGGGCUAAGGCAGGGCCCAGACGCUUACGGUAGGCAAGGGUGGAGAAUAUUGGACAGAGAGCCGACGCCUGGUACGGCAACGUGCCGCGCGGGAUGGCGGGCUUCGGGUUGGAAACCGCUUUCGCCUGUGAUGAAGCGUGAGUGACGGUAAUGGGUAAAGAAGCAACGGCUAACUACGUG